ACGACUUGGGAUCACUGGCUUAUACUUUGGUAUUCCUUAUGCGGGGUAGUCUUCCUUGGCAAGGUUAUCAGGGCGACAACAAAGGUUUUCUGGUGUGGAAGAAGAAAAUGGCAACUUCUCCCGAAAUGCUGUGCUGUUUCUGCCCUGUUCCGUUUUUAAACAGACGUUUUGGAGAUGGUCGCAAAUAUGAAGUUCGAUGAAGAGCCAAACCACGGCAAGCUCGUUCUAUUCUUCGAUUCCAUCUUGGAUCCUAAUCCUACUGUGAGACCCAUAAACACAGACGGUGUUGAAAAGUGUUCCAUACAGGUUGGUCAGAAGAGAGGGCGAAUCAGAUGUUGAAGAAGAUGAGGAUGACCAACCUAAGAAAAAGAUCUGGUUAGGAAUGCCCGCAACUCAAUGGAUUACAACAUUUACAACGCUCGGUGGCCAAAUGAAGCAGAGGUAUCACUACGAUGCAGCUGAUUCCCGGCUUACGGAGCACGUGGAAAAGGGUAAUGAAGACAGUCUGUAUAUAAGCAGUGUGGCUUCUUGUA